AGAGUUUGAUCAUGGCUCAGGACAAACGCUGGCGGCGUGCCUAACACAUGCAAGUCGAACGCCCUUACGCAAGUGAGGGAGUGGCGGACGGGUGAGUAACACGUGGCUACCUAUCCCCAAGUGAGGAAUACCGGCGAGAAAUCGCCGACAAGACCGCAUAGCCUCGGGCAGCCGAGGAAAGUCGCAAGACGCUUGAGGAG
rnacentral:rRNA from 1 species